rnacentral:rRNA from 1 species
UGGGGAAUAUUGCACAAUGGGGGAAACCCUGAUGCAGCAACGCCGCGUGAGUGAUGACGGUCUUCGGAUUGUAAAGCUCUGUCUUUAGGGACGAUAAUGACGGUACCUAAGGAGGAAGCCACGGCUAACUACGUGCCAGCAGCCGCGGUAAUACGUAGGUGGCAAGCGUUGUCCGGAUUUACUGGGCGUAAAGGGAGCGUAGGCGGUUUCUUAAGUGGGGUGUGAAAUAUCCGGGCUUAACCUGGGUGCUGCAUUCCAAACUGGGAAUCUAGAGUGCAGGAGGGGAGAGUGGAAUUCCUAGUGUAGCGGUGAAAUGCGUAGAGAUUAGGAAGAACACCAGUGGCGAAGGCGACUCUCUGGACUGUAACUGACGCUGAGGCGCGAAAGCGUGGGGAGCAAACA